CCACUCUUUGCAUGCUAACGUAAAACUUCCAAAAAGAAGUGUCUAUUUUAAUCAUCACAUUAUUGAUCACAACAUUAUGUUACAUUUAAAGUGGCUUUAAAUUGUUAGGAUGCAUAUUUGUGUGUCCUGCUGAAGCUCUGAUAGAUGGAGGGAUCAAUUUUAGGCCAAAUCCUGUAGAGAUGCUUUAGUUUAGUUCAUCUGACAUAUAAGGAGUAAUCAUUUAGCUCAGUUCCUGUGUCCUCUUGCAUGUUUGUGUUCAUGUGUCUGUCUUCGACCUUCAUGCCUAUUGGGUUGGGGGGGGGCAGAGGGUCAAUCUUGUUAACCUCUGCAUUGAAGACACAUCAUCAGCACACAAACACACACCCUGAUCCUGCAGGCAGAGCGUGGCUUUCAUCGCCCAGCAAACAUCAGAUCUGGCAGCAGAUCAACCGUCUCUCCCUCAUUAGCUUCACAUGUUUCUUUCCAUCGUUUUCCUGUUGGUCCGUCUGAAGAGAGGUGGUGGCAACAGGGGGAUGGAUUUUCCUCCUGACAGAUGGGAUAAGCACAGACUCGGUUUUAGAGCUGAUGUUCAUGGAGGCGACUUCAGCCUGAUUCAUUAUCCAGGUGUCUGAGCUCCAUCCACGCGUCGGGAAGAAGGCCUGUCACGGCGGAAACAUCCAGAACAUUGCAGCACAGAGAGAAGAUCAAAACCACAACGCGUGUUCAGGAUGUCAGGAUGCUGGAUGGGAAUCAGUGCUAGCGGCUGCAAGGAGGGAUCGGCGGUCAGGGUUUGGAUUUGUUAAAAGCUUCCCUGAGAAUUUAGCUGGUUGAAGAAAAGGGAACUGUCAGGUGCAAGAACCAGGUGAUCUGGAUCAGGGACGUCUUGCAAUAAUAAACCUGAGUUUAUUGAGUCAAAACUGAUGCAUCAU